rnacentral:lncRNA from 1 species
GCUUCACUCGACAAUGUACUACACGUGGCAGAAUCCCUGCAGAUUUUGAGUGUCGAUUUGGGUUACUCAUUUGUGGAUAUAACCCUGCAUGAAUAGAAUAGUCGGUGUACAUUCUAUCGUAGGGGUUUGUGUGAAUGUCACUUAAUGAUUUUUGUCCUGUGAACUCGAAAAAAAUAUCACAACGUGUGAUAAUUUUGUUUGUUCAUGUUUGACAGUGUGCCUGUGUUCUCUAUACUAAGAUUUGUAUUGAGCAUUCAAAAAAUAUCAGAACGUGCGACAUUUUGUUUGCUCAUGUUUGACAGUGCCUGUUUUCUCUAUACUAAGAUUUGUAUUGAGCAUUCAAAAAAUAUCAGAACGUGCGGACAUUUUGUUUGCUCAUGUUUGACAGUGUGCCUGUGUUCUCUAUACUAGGAUUUGUAUUGAGCAUUCGGGUUUACUGAACUUCCUUCUCUCUUCCUUUUUUUUACUCUUGGGGAUGCACAGCAUGAGAUUGCUCGAUUUAACUAAAUAUGAAGAAAACAACACG